GCCUCUCUUCUAUUACUUGCAGACCAUGGCAGGACGGUCCUUUCAACACCUUCUUAGUUUUCUUAUGCUUUUGCUGCUAUGUGCCAAACCUGGCCUGGGGAAUGUUACUGGGUGCAUAGAGAGGGAGAGACAAGCUCUCCUUCACUUCAAACGUGGCCUUGUCGAUCAAUUUGGCCUUCUUUCCUCUUGGGGAGACAACAACAGAGAUUGUUGCCAAUGGAGAGGAGUCCAGUGUAGUAACCAGUCUGGUCACAUCAUCAUGCUUCAUCUUCUUGCCCCGCCAAAUGAAGAAUAUGAUGAAUAUGGUAUUUACCAGUCUCUUAGAGGCGACAUAAGUCCUUCCUUGCUUGAAUUGGAGCACUUGACUCAUUUGGAUCUCAGCUGUAAUGAUUUUGAAGGGAGGCAUAUACCUCCAUUCCUUGGUUCCCUCAGCAGAAUGCAGUACCUCAAUCUCUCUCAUGCCCAUUUCAAUCACACUGUUCCCACUCAAUUGGGAAAUCUUUCCAACUUGCUUUCCCUUGAUCUCAGCGAUAAUUAUUAUCACUUGAAUUCUGGGAACCUGGAGUGGCUUUCUCGUCUUUCUUCUUUAAGACACCUUGACCUGAGUUCUGUUGACCUUAGUGAAGCCAUCCACUGGUCCCAAGCAAUUAAUAAACUCCCUUCUCUCAUUCACUUGGACUUACGACACUGUUAUCUCCCUCCCAUCCCCUCACUCACCAUUCCGUCUCUUUCCCAUGGGAAUUCCUCUGUCCCUCUUGUUUUCCUUGAUCUCUCUUGGAAUUAUCUCACUUCUUCAAUAUACCCAUGGCUGCUCAACUUUAGUACCACCCUCCUUCAUCUUGAUCUCUCUUUCAAUCAUUUAAACAGUUCGAUUCCGGAAUAUGCUUUUGGGAACAUGAGUUCCCUUGAAUAUCUUGAUCUCUCUUUCAAUCAACUGCGGGGCUCAAUUCCAGAUAUAGUUGGGAAGAUGGUUUUACUUUCACAUCUUGAUCUCUCUUACAAUCAACUGCAGGGCUCAAUUCCAGACACAGUUGGGAAGAUGGUUUUACUUUCAGAUCUUGAUCUCUCUAACAAUCAACUGCGGGGCUCAAUUCCAAAUACAGUUGGGAAGAUGGUUUUACUUUCACAUCUUGAUCUCUCUUACAAUCAACUGCAAGGCUCAAUUCCAGACACAGUUGGGAAAAUGGUUUUACUUUCAGAUCUUGAUCUCUCUCGCAAUCAACUACAGGGCUCCAUUCCAGAUACAGUUGGGAAGAUGGUUUUACUUUCACAUCUUGAUCUUUCUUGCAAUCAACUGCAGGGUUCCAUUCCAGAUACAGUUGGGAAGAUGGUUUUACUUUCACAUCUUGAUCUCUCUCUCAAUCAACUACAGGGUUCCAUUCCAGAUACAGUUGGGAAGAUGGUUUUACUUUCACAUCUUGAUCUCUCUCUCAAUCAACUGCAGGGCUCCAUUCCAGAUACAGUUGGGAAGAUGGUUUCUCUUAAAAACCUCUAUCUCUCUCAGAAUCAUCUUCAAGGUGAGAUUCCAAAAUCCUUGAGUAAUUUAUGUAACUUACAAGAAUUAGAGUUGGAUAGAAACAAUCUCUCUGGACAGCUUGCACCAAACUUUGUGGCCUGUGCAAAUGACACAUUAGAGACUCUGUUUUUAUCGAAUAACCAGUUUAGUGGAUCAGUUCCUGCUCUCAUUGGAUUUUCAUCCUUGAGAGAGUUACAUCUUGAUUUUAAUCAACUAAAUGGAACUUUACCUGAAAGUGUUGGACAGUUGGCCAAACUUGAUUCCUUGGAUAUUGCCUCAAAUUCAUUGCAAGGCACUAUCUCUGAAGCCCAUCUCUUUAAUCUAUCCUGGUUGUCCUAUUUAAACUUAUCUUCCAACUCUCUCACUUUCAACAUGAGCUUGGAUUGGGUUCCUCCAUUUCAAUUGGAUUCUCUACGAUUAGCCUCCUGCAAAUUGGGACCUCGUUUUCCUAGUUGGCUUCGUACUCAAAACCAGUUGAGUGAGCUUGAUAUCUCCAAUUCUGAAAUUUUAGAUGUCCUCCCAGACUGGUUUUGGAAUGUAACCUCAACUAUCGAUACCUUGAGUAUUUCCAACAAUCGGAUCAAUGGGACCUUACCGAAUUUAUCAUCAAAAUUUGGUACUUUUUUAUCAUAGAUAUGAGCUCAAACUGUUUUGAGGGUUCAAUACCACAACUUCCUUAUGAUGUGCAAUGGUUGGAUCUCUCCAAUAACAAGUUAUCGGGGUCCAUUUCUUUAUUAUGUAAAGUUGGUUAUCAGUUACUUCUACUUGACCUCUCAAACAACUCGUUGUCGGGAGGGCUGCCCAAUUGUUUGGCGCGGUGGGAAAGGUUGGUAGUUCUUAAUUUGGAAAAUAACAAAUUUUCUGGGCAAAUUCCAAAUUCAUUUGGCUCCUUGCGAUCAAUUCAGACACUACAUUUGCGGAACAACAAUUUAACCGGAGAAUUGCCUUUGUCUUUUAAGAAUUGUACAAGUUUGAGGUUCAUUGAUUUGGCAAAAAAUAAGUUAUCAGGAAAAAUACCAGAAUGGAUUGGAGGAAGCCUCCCAAAUUUGGUUGUUCUAAACCUAGGAUCUAAUAGAUUCAGUGGAGGUAUAUGUCCAGAGCUAUGCCAAUUGAAAAAUAUUCAAAUAUUGGACCUCUCUAGCAACAAUAUGUUAGGUGUUGUACCGAGAUGUGUUGGUGGUUUCACUGCCAUGACUAAGAAAGGGAGCUUGGUCAUUGCUCAUAAUUAUUCAUGUGCACAAGUCAUACAUGGUCCCCAUGGUUUUCCCGUCUUUCUGCCUCCACUUUUUAGGAAUGCCUCUUAUGUUGAUAGGGCAUUGGUUAAAUGGAAAGGAAGAGAAUUUGAAUAUAAAAGUACCCUUGGGCUUGUAAAGAGUAUUGAUCUUUCAAGCAACAAACUAUCGGGGGAAAUUCCAGAAGAAGUAAUUGAUCUUGUAGAAUUAGUUUCAUUAAACUUAUCAAGGAACAAUUUGACUAGACUGAUCCCUGCAAGAAUUGGUCAAUUGAAAUCAUUGGAGGUUCUUGAUUUGUCUCAAAAUCAACUCUUUGGUGAAAUUCCAGCUAGCCUUGUUGAAGUAAGUGAUCUAAGUGUCUUAGAUCUCUCUGACAACAACUUGUCCGGUAAAAUUCCACAAGGUACUCAACUUCAAAGCUUCAAUAUUGAUUCCUACAAGGGAAAUCCUGCACUCUGUGGAUUGCCUCUUUUGAAAAAGUGUUCUGAAGAUAAAAUAAAGCAAGAUUCUCCCACUCAUAACAUUGAAGACAAAAUUCAGCAAGAUGGAAAUGACAUGUGGUUUUAUGUUAGCGUUGCUCUUGGAUUCAUUGUUGGAUUUUGGGGAGUGUGUGGAACUUUACUACUCAACAAAUCAUGGAGAUAUGCCUAUUUCCAAUUCUUGAAUAAAAUAAAAGAUUGGCUCUACGUGAUUAUAGCAAUAAAUAUGGCUAGAUUACAAAGGAGUCUUCAAAGCUAAAUGGACUGCAACUCUUGUUCUUGCCCUAUUAGCAUGGUUGAAUGCAAAUCGUUGUGUCCUCCCUUCUAUGAUUGAUCUUGGGAUGUAAUAGGUUUCUUGCUUAUGUUCUUUAGAUGCGUAUUUUAUAUUUCAUUCAGAAAUUUGUGUGACAUAUUAUCUCUUUUCUUCCUUACA